UUGGAGGGCAAGUCUGGUGCCAGCAGCCGCGGUAAUUCCAGCUCCAAUAGCGUAUAUUAAAGUUGUUGCAGUUAAAAAGCCUCGUAGUUGAAUUUCGGGGUCAGUAGAUUGGUCGUGCCACUGGUAUGUACUGGUCUUACUGGCUCCUCCUUCCUGAUGAACCGUAAUGCCAUUAAUUUGGUGUUGCGGGGAGACUGGACUGUUACUUUGAAAAAAUUAGAGUGUUUAAAGCAGGCUAACGCUUGAAUACAUUAGCAUGGAAUAAUGAAAUAGGACGUUCGAUCUUAUUUUGUUGGUUUCUAGGAUUGACGUAAUGAUUAAUAGGGAUAGUUGGGGGCAUUAGUAUUCAAUUGUCAGAGGUGAAAUUCUUGGAUUUAUUGAAGACUAACUACUGCGAAAGCAUUUGCCAAGGAUGUUUUCAUUAAUCAAGAACGAAAGUUAGGGGAUCGAAGACGAUCAGAUACCGUCGUAGUCUUAACCAUAAACUAUGCCGACUAGGGAUCGGAUGAUGUUAAUUUUUUAAUGACUCAUUCGGCGCCUUACGGGAAAC
rnacentral:rRNA from 1 species